AAGAAGAAGAAGAAGAAGAAGAAGAAGAAGAAGAAGAAGAAAGAUUUAUUCCUCUGUAACUGUGUUAUCAACAGGCCUUCUCCCAGAUGCCCUAGACUUUUCCUGAAGGAAGUUUUCUGGAAAUAGAGGCCUCUCUCCAGAUCCCACCAGCUUUCCUACCCUUCUGCAGCCUAGAUCAUUUACAUACAAUUUGACAACUCAUAUUUACCCUUCACCCGGAUCAUUGAGAAGUGUUGUAGCCUGUCACUGUAACCAUGCAGUUCGCUACAAGGCAUUAGUAUAUUAGUCUCCACAGCCAUGUUUGAAAACCAUGACAUGGAAGAACAAAGGACAUAAAGUUAUUAACUUGUAUGUCUUCUGGGGUUAUCUGGAAAGCUCAAUUCAAAGGAAGGCCAGUAAAAAUGGAACACCCUUUGUCAGGAGAAUGGCUGGAAACUUGGAGCACACUGUCCAUCCUGCAGGCAGUUCAACAGAAAACAAGCCGGCCCGUAGAAAAACAAGAAAAUUAGAAGUAAACAAGGAGCACA